UACGGAGGGAGCUAGCGUUGUUCGGAAUUACUGGGCGUAAAGCGCGCGUAGGCGGCUUUGUAAGUUAGAGGUGAAAGCCCGGAGCUCAACUCCGGAACUGCCUUUAAAACUGCAUCGCUUGAAUCCAGGAGAGGUGAGUGGAAUUCCGAGUGUAGAGGUGAAAUUCGUAGAUAUUCGGAAGAACACCAGUGGCGAAGGCGGCUCACUGGACUGGUAUUGACGCUGAGACGCGAAAGCGUGGGGAGCGAACAGG
rnacentral:rRNA from 1 species